AGUCGAACGAUGAAGUCUAGCUUGCUAGUAGGAUUAGUGGCGGACGGGUGAGUAAUAUAUAGGGAUCUGCCUAGUAGUGGGGGACAACAGCCGGAAACGGCUGCUAAUACCGCAUACGCUCUACGGAGGAAAGUGGGGGACCUUCGGGCCUCACGCUAUCAGAUGAACCUAUAUCAGAUUAGCUAGUUGGUGGGGUAAAGGCCUACCAAGGCGACGAUCUGUAGCUGGUUUGAGAGGAUGAUCAGCCACACUGGGACUGAGACACGGCCCAGACUCCUACGGGAGGCAGCAGUGGGGAAUAUUGGACAAUGGGCGCAAGCCUGAUCCAGCAAUGCCGCGUGUGUGAAGAAGGCCUUAGGGUUGUAAAGCACUUUAAGUGUGGGAGGAAAAGCUGUGCGUUAAUAGCGUAUA
rnacentral:rRNA from 1 species